rnacentral:snoRNA from 1 species
CUGUAAUGAUGAUUGGCUUUUUAUGUUCAACUGCACUUAUGACCAUGAAAGAAAUGCCUCUCUGAACAAUC